UGUCGUCGAUGACGACCACCAAUGGUCCGGUAGCUUGAGAGGAUCGCCUUCGGGUAGCUGCAAAAACACUCCCGCAGCCUGAAAGGGAGAACGCAAAAGCGUGGUAAAUCGGCUCACCUUUGGAAGCAGAUAUCGUCUUUAAAAGCGCAC
rnacentral:sRNA from 1 species